ACUUAGUUCAACGGCCGCGGUAUUUGACCGUGCAAAGGUAGCGUAAUCACUUGUCUUUUAAAUGAAGACCUGUAUGAAUGGCAUAACGAGGGCUUAACUGUCUCCUUCCCCCGGUCAAUGAAAUUGAUCUCCCCGUGCAGAAGCGGGGAUAAAACCAUAAGACGAGAAGACCCUAUGGAGCUUUAGACACACAGGUGGCCCAUGUCAAAUAACCCCCGCUAAGGGCCUGAACUAAGUGGAACCUGCCUUGAUGUCUUCGGUUGGGGCGACCAUGGGGAAUACAAAACCCCCACGUGGAAGGGGAGCACACCCCUAAGUUACUUCUUCUCCCGCAAGCCAGAGCAACGGCUCUAACCAGCAGAAAUUCUGACCAAACUGAUCCGGUAAUACCGAUCAACGAACCAAGUUACCCUAGGGAUAACAGCGCAAUCCCCUUUUAGAGCCCAUAUCGAC
rnacentral:rRNA from 1 species